UACAGAGGUCUCAAGCGUUGUUCGGAUUCAUUGGGCGUAAAGGGUGCGUAGGUGGCGCGGUAAGUCGGGUGUGAAAUUUCGGAGCUUAACUCCGAAACUGCAUUCGAUACUGCCGUGCUUGAGGACUGGAGAGGAGACUGGAAUUUACGGUGUAGCGGUGAAAUGCGUAGAUAUCGUAAGGAAGACCAGUGGCGAAGGCGGGUCUCUGGACAGUUCCUGACGCUGAGGCAACGAAGGCCAGGGGAGCAAACGGG
rnacentral:rRNA from 1 species